AGUUAAGGUCAAGACCCGUGACAUCGGUGACCAUGGGUAGGCUGGAUGACGCCGCGAAGCGUAAAGUGGUGGAGCUCCGAGAGGCUGGCUUGAGUUUUCGGAAGAUAAAGGCGGUUCUGGAGCUGGAGAACAUCAAGGUGUCUGCACAAGCUAUCUAUUUGUUCCUCAAAGAGUUCAAUGGCAGGAACGGGACAAAUCUGGCGGCGGGUGGUGCUGGUGUUCAGGCCAACAUGGGGGAGAGCAGCACGGGCAGCAGGAACAACAGUUGGAGAGACCAACUCCAGCUCGGGACCCUUAUGCGGGAGGCUUCCCGGGUGGCUGGAUACUCCACCUCCCCUGACCCACCUCAACAGGGAGGAUCUUCCUCCGAAGAGAGAGGGAUAAAGGGAGUGAGGAAAGAGGACGAGGAAGAGGAUAUCCGCAUUGUCAGCGUGACUUCACUGGCACAAAGAUCUCCGCAGGACGGGGUCCACACCCAGCGGACAAGCAUGACUACAGGUGUCGGGGCCAUGACGGGGAUCUUUGCACGGAGACGCCUCACUGUCUCCCCUGCCACCAACCCAGUUCUGUUGGCCCGCAAGAGGCUGCUGGACAAAGCCCUGCUCCACAGAGCAAGAAUCAGAGAAGGCGCUCCAUCACCUGGCCAGCAGGUGGCGACCCCAACGAGGAGGGAUCAAUCGUGGCGUAACAUGAUGUUGCCUCAGGUGGCUUCCUCCAUCGACCUCACCACAACCAGACCCCAGCAAGUGAGGAGAAUUGUGGAUGGGCAUCCAGAUGUGAGGCGAGGGUUCCAGCCACGGAUGGGUGUCCCAACACCGCCGCGUGUGGGGGUCCGACUCCCGAGCCCUGCUGCUCCCAACACAACCACCCAGGCUGUCGCCAACCCCAACAUUCGCAUCCAGCAUCCCGCCAACCAACCCCAGAGGAGGGAGCCAUCGCCGAACUACCAGCCCGGGGUCCUGGAGGCGCUCCGGCAGGGCCUCGGCGAGCAGGUGCAGGGCUUGGGCUCGGAGGUGCGCAGCCUGGGGCUGGCCGUGAGGAUGCUGGUGGAGCAGCAGAGCAGACUGGAGAGGGAGCAGGUCCAGCAGACGCAGGUGCAGAAGCAGAUCCUCAGCACCCUGCAGUUCCUGGCCUCCAGGCCGGGCCCCUGCGCACUCACCCACGCCCCCACGCCCACGCCCCCGUCUCCGGCCUCCCUGGCAGCGGUGUCUUCUUACGGUCAGAGCACCUUCACCUCCACGCAGGGCAGCUACACCCAGGCCUCUCUGGCUUUGAGCGAGAGCUCUGUACUGGAGAACGCGGAAGCUUUCUCUCUCUCCGGAAUGAGUUCGGCAGGCAUGAAUGGCUUCAGCGGCUCAGAGAGUCUCCAGCCAGCGCACACACACACGUCACCCGCUUACUCGCAGUCCCUCACACACACGCACACGCCUCUAGACUUCACACAGACCCCCGUGCAUUCGCACACUCAAACGCACAGUCCGAUUCUGCACCAGAAUCAGGGCCUGUCGCACACAGAUUCUUUUGAGGACAGUAAGGACACAGAGUUCUUAGCCGGCCAAGUGGACGGAAACCUCCAGGACUACCGCCCAUCCAUCCCUGGCAUCUCCCCCCUCAGUCUCUCGCCACAGGAGCCCCAGCUCAACAUCAUUAAGGUGGAGGCUGACUGAGACCUCCAGGAACACUACAGGCAGGAUUCUACCGCAGGGACUUUGCCACGAACACAGGAAUAUUUUUUUUUUUUUCUUCUUCAUAGGUAAUUGUGCCAACCUUUUUGCCAUCCACUCCAGAACAGGUACAGUGGCUUGCACAAGUAUUCAACUCCCUUGAAAGUCAUCACCAUUUUCUGGAUUCCAAAAUAUGCUUACACAUAUUUCCCCAAUAAGUAUAUCUAAAGACCCUUAGGAAGUGUGAUUUUUAUAUCCAAGGGUUGUUUACUACUCAUAGGUAAUACCUAAUUAUGUUUGAUUAUGGUCAAAUAAGUUACAGCCCUGAAUUGUUUGUGAAUAAUUUGUCAUCUGUCCAAAUACGGAACUUAAAAGUGCAGGGGUUUGAAUACUUAGCCAGCAGUAAACUUUUUAAUUCGUUUUUUUUUGUAUAAUGUAAGUAAACAAAUACAAGACAAGAGUUGCAUACAAGAGUUGCAGUUCAAAGUGCUCUACAUAAAAUCAAGCAGCAAGAGCAAUGCAUGGAGUAAAAUAAUGAUCAACAUCGUAUCAGAACCUGAUGUUCCGAUAGGCUUCUUGGAUUACUAUAAUCAUGAUAAAAGUAAUAAAAACCAUUCUGCCUGGUCUUAAGCUCA
rnacentral:lncRNA from 1 species